UGCAUAAGCCCACGGCUCGGCAUCGAGCAGAGGGAAAAGGAGCAAUCCGCUUUGAGAUGGCCUCGCGUCCGAUUAGCUAGUUGGUGAGGUAACGGCCCACCAAGGCGACGAUCGGUAGCCGGACUGAGAGGUUGAACGGCCGCAUUGGGACUGAGACACGGCCCAGACUCCUACGGGAGGCAGCAGUGGGGAAUAUUGCACAAUGGGGGAAACCCUGAUGCAGCGACGCCGCGUGGAGGAAGAAGGUCUUCGGAUUGUAAACUCCUGUUGUUGGGGAAGAUAAUGACGGUACCCAACAAGGAAGUGACGGCUAACUACGUGCCAGCAGCCGCGGUAAAACGUAGGUCACAAGCGUUGUCCGGAAUUACUGGGUGUAAAGGGAGCGCAGGCGGGAAGACAAGUUGGAAGUGAAAUCUAUGGGCUCAACCCAUAAACUGCUUUCAAAACUGUUUUUCUUGAGUAGUGCAGAGGUAGGCGGAAUUCCCGGUGUAGCGGUGGAAUGCGUAGAUAUCGGGAGGAACACCAGUGGCGAAGGCGGCCUACUGGGCACCAACUGACGCUGAGGCUCGAAAGUGUGGGUAGCAAACAGGAUUAGAUACCCUGGUAGUCCACACCGUAAACGAUGAUUACUAGGUGUUGGAGGAUUGACCCCUUCAGUGCCGCAGUUAACACAAUAAGUAAUCCACCUGGGGAGUACGACCGCAAGGUUGAAACUCAAAGGAAUUGACGGGGGCCCGCACAAGCAGUGGAGUAUGUGGUUUAAUUCGACGCAACGCGAAGAACCUUACCAAGUCUUGACAUCCCUUGACAGACAUAGAAAUAUGUAUUCUCUUCGGAGCAAGGAGACAGGUGGUGCAUGGUUGUCGUCAGCUCGUGUCGUGAGAUGUUGGGUUAAGUCCCGCAACGAGCGCAACCCUUAUGGUCAGUUACUACGCAAGAGGACUCUGGCCAGACUGCCGUUGACAAAACGGAGGAAGGUGGGGAUGACGUCAAAUCAUCAUGCCCUUUAUGACUUGGGCUACACACGUACUACAAUGGCGUUAAACAAAGAGAAGCAAGACCGCGAGGUGGAGCAAAACUCAGAAACAACGUCCCAGUUCGGACUGCAGGCUGCAACUCGCCUGCACGAAGUCGGAAUUGCUAGUAAUCGUGGAUCAGCAUGCCACGGUGAAUACGUUCCCGGGCCUUGUACACACCGCCCGUCACACCAUGAGAGCCGGGGGGACCCGAAGUCGGUAGUCUAACCGCAAGGAGGACGCCGCCGAAGGUAAAACUGGUGAUUGGGGUGAAGUCGUAACAAGGU
rnacentral:rRNA from 1 species